rfam:Aspergillus versicolor CBS 583.65 unplaced genomic scaffold ASPVEscaffold_3, whole genome shotgun sequence.
GCCUGGCUAGCUCAAUCGGUAGAGCGUGAGACUCUUAAUCUCAAGGCUGCGGGUUCGAGCCCCGCGUUGGGCU